AAGGCAUUUCUCUUACACUAAUCACAAGAAGUCCUGUCACAAUACACACUUUCAACAGUACUUCUACGCAGGAAUGAGUUUCUUACUAAUUUGCGCUGUUUUGGCAUCUUGUAUACCUCUGUCGUUUUCGUUUAUGCUGGAUGGACAACCAGGAAACAUACAGGAAAUAGCAAAUGAGCUUGGUAAACUUCAGUCCGAGGUGGCGGCACUAAAAGAAAUGAUUCAAGAAUUACAGGAAACAUGUCCUUCAUGAAACAGUCAUCUCCAGCAUUUAUGGCAUCGUUAAGCAUGUUCGUGACAUGUACUGUUGACGCUCCGCUCGUAUUCGAUCGAGAACAGCUCGACACGCGCCAGGCAUACGAUACUCGACAUGGACUGUUUCGCGCACCAGUGAACGGAACAUACAUGUUUACUGCAACAAUUGCUGCUCAACCAAAUCAAGGGUUUCACGUUAAAUUAGUAAGAAAUUCACUGUCGGACGAAAUUGGUUACUUAUUUUCGGACAACGGGCACUCCGGAUGGAACGAGCGGUCGACAACCAUUGUUGUUAAGCUUGCUGCUGGUGAUGACGUUUGGUUAGCAUGCACAAUGCCUAGCAACAUCACGGGCGGAAAUUCUGGAAUGGAACAUGAUUAUCAUUCACACUUUUCUGGGUUCUUUAUCGACGCGUUCUAACAACAACGGGGUAGCCUUGUUAGCAGAUCUUUCAACACAACAUGUCUAUCUACCGAAUGGCUGAUUGUUGUUGUAUUUUCUUUAAAUCUAAAUCGUUCGGGAUCCCGUUUGAUUGUAUCAAUGGCUAAUUUUAUUAUACCAACAUCCAGUUUGCAAAAGCGGCUAUUCCUAAAUGAUCCACACAUGUGUUAUCAUAAAUGUAAUUGUAAUAAUUGUGUUAAUAUGAUUUUACUUGAUCAUUUUUAUCGUGUAUGAUGACGGUGCUUGUCUAGGCAUUGGAAUGUUUAGGUUCAGCGUAUAUUUGCUUUUGCCUCAAGACAUAAUAGUGAGUAGAACCCCCCCCCCCCCCCCCCACCUUUCGCAAUGCUUAAUUGUUAAACAUGAACGUUUGCUUCUUAUAAUAUAGCUUCCCCAUUUUUAACUUCAAUGAGUUGUUUUUUAGUAAGUGUAUAAAUUCUUCCAAUUGAUAACUGAUAUAUUUCUUACAUACAAUUGUGCUUUUGUAUCAAUUGCAUUGUUUUGCAAUCUAUGAAUUGUGUACUUGCCACACAUGUGCCUAUAUUAUAUAAAUUACAAUAUACUUUUU